UGGCACCUCCUUUCUGUUAGCCGCCGGAUACCAGGGGAACACCAAGAGGGGGGAGUUUCCAGAGCAGUGUUGGAGCUGCUGUGAUACCUCUGGAAUACAGGAGAGGGAUGCAGCAAUGCUGGCACAGGACGCUCUCCUGAAGUAGCAACAGAGGCUGUUUUGUAGAGACUUUAAGAUGGCUCUUGAAGAAUUAAACAUCCUCAUAAAGAAGUGCUGCUUGUAGCUGGAACUUCAAUGUGGACCAUCUUUGAUUUGAAGAAAAUCACAUUUAGGAACUGUUUGUCUCACUAUGACUGGAAUAUUUAUCUUAAGAAGAGGCAUGACAGGAGGAAGACGUGUUUGGAUUCAGAAAUACAGCCCUCUAAUGAGAUGGAAAGGUGUGCCCUACUUUAUGUGCCUGUUUGCCUGAUGUAUGUGUUUCUUCAAACCCACAAGCUUAAAAUGUGUCACCUAAAAAAUAUUACACUCUUGGUGUUGGAAAUCUGGCAAGCGGUGCCUGAAGUAAAUUGAGACUCUUAAUUCUUCCCAGUACAUACAGAUAACAAUAAUUUUCAUUCUGUAAAAGUCAUGGCAGCCUACAGCUCUAGGACCUAAGCCUGAUAUCAUUGAUAUCUGGUGUAACUUUGAAAAAUAUUCUACUCAGAAAUCCAUUCUGGAGGGAAGAAUGUAAAUGUUGAACACCUUGUUUCACUACCAAGCUUACAUCUUGGGAGGUUUUUUACUAAUGAAAAUUCUUACAAGUUUUUUAUUUCAUAGGAAAUAACACAUUCCUGUUUAUAAUUUCAAAAAAGUAAAAAUAAUAAUUACCUUUUCCUAUGAUCAUUUCCACUACAUUUUACUGAGAUAAAUAGGGAGCUUUCACAGUGAGCAUCUAGAGUGACUCU